ACAUCCUAUAACAGUGUGUAUCCCAGAGAAUGAUGUGGACAUUUGUUGGCAAAGUUUAAAACUAUUAGUUGCUUCAUGCUGUUUGAACAGUAUCAACAGCUGUUAUUUUCAGUUUCCUCUCAAGCAAGACCUUUAUCUAACAGACCAAGCAAAUGAUGUUCACAUGGGAUGCAGUUGUAUAACUUCAUGUGAAUUAGCUAGUCAUCAAAGUUAUAAUGUGCUCUUUGUUGGCAGUCAUAAUCUCACAAUUUCUGUACAAGCAAAGGAUCUGAUUGAUGGAUUAGGUUACUUGAAGGAAGUGGGAAGGACAGAGGAAGAGACUCUUUACUUUAUUGAACAAAUCUGCACUUGUUGGUGCUCUGAUAAAUUUGUAGAACUGUGACAUUCAAGUAAGUAAUAUUGUGAUGAGGGUGCUCAGAACCAAGGCCGCUUUCAAUAUUUUUGAGAGCCUGAGAUGUUAAGACUAUGCUGAUGAGAUUUUCCUGAUUGUCUCCAGAGCAUGAUGCUUCAUCGUGUUGUAAGCUGACAAGCAUUUACAGGGAGAAUGUGCUUAAUUAAUGAUGAUUAUAUAAGGGUUCUACCUCAUUCUCCUGGAUCUCAGAGAAAGCGGAUGCUUAAUAUUGAAGUGUCAAUUAAUGGCAGGGUAAUACCUAUCAAGAGAACCAAGGAGUUGGUCCAAGUGGUGGAAGCCUUCUAGGUGCUUAAUCCUCUAUGCUCAAAUUUCAAAUCCUACUGGAGCCAUAUUCAUUAUUCAAGCUUGUGUUGGCCCUGGGCUACGAACCUUGUGAGGUGAUUAAUGCUCUGUAGUUGUGCCUUGAAUGAUUUCAAUGGGGUUAUUGGUCCCCUAAAACCCAAAAGACAAGGGAAAAAGAAAUUUACAGGGAAGCAAUAAACAUAGGAUAAUUACUUUUCCAUUGGCUAACCCCUCAAAAUUUAGUUAAUGCGAAUCUCCAGGAACAUUUCGGGUUUCUAUGAAAUGUCGUGCGAGGAUAUUGAAUGUCUUCUGGUGCAUUUUCUGCUAUAUGUUCCCUGACAUCUAAUGCAUGUGGAAUUGGUUAAUGGUGUUUGAGAAUGUUACUUGCUGUUUUUUUGUCUCUCUUAUGGAGGAACAACCUGGGACCUGGAAGAUCCACAUCCAAUCACGUCGUACAGUGAGAAGAGAUAGAUCAACCUCAAGGGGUUGGGGUCUGAAGGCAUGCCACAGUUGCAGGAGCUUUCCUGGCAGUCAAAUUUGAAAAUAUAGAGCUCACCCAGAAUGGUUGUUAUCAUUGCUCAGAAGACCUCAUUGGAAGUUACUGUUACUGUGCUAUGCGAGAACUAGAGAAAGGUUGUCAUUUGGUUAAUGAUCGAUCCUGCAGAGGAGACAUGAAAAUUGUAUUGGAAAGGUGCAUGGAUAAAAAUUCUGGCACUUUGAAUCUGCUUGUGGUGUUUGUAUCGGAAAGGUGCAUGGAUAAAAUUUCUGGCACAUUGAAUCUGCUUGGUGCUCGAGGGAGACAAUCAAAGGAGUUUUGAUGGUAAGGCGAAUCUAGAUUAUUGAAGUCUAUUAUAUAGCAGUGGUACUUCAUGCGGGUGUUCGAUUGCUUGUAUUGUAACCCGAACUGAGACAACUGACCACUUAUUCUUUUCUAUUUCAAAUUACACCAAUUCACUCUACAUAGUCCCUUGAUUCUGUGUUGAGGAAUAUUGCAAGAAAGACUCUUAAAUCUAUUUGAAAACAAGAUGUCAUAAUCUCCAUUACCACAUAUAUUCAUCAACCAUAUUUGAAAUACAAGCCAAACAUUUUCAUCCACACAUGCAAACAACGUGCAUGAUGAACUGUGAUUAACACA